UACGGGGGGGGCAAGCGUUGUUCGGAAUUACUGGGCGUAAAGGGCUCGUAGGUGGCCAACUAAGUCAGACGUGAAAUCCCCAGGCUCAACUUGGGAACUGCGUCUGAUACUGGAUGGCUUGAAUUCGGGAGAGGGAUGCAGAAUUCCAGGUGUAGCGGUGAAAUGCGUAGAUAUCUGGAGGAAUACCGGUGGCGAAGGCAGCGCCCUGGGCCAAUACUGACGCUCAGGCACGAAAGCGUGGGGAGCAAACAGG
rnacentral:rRNA from 1 species